ensembl:snRNA U6 U6 spliceosomal RNA
GUGCUCACUUUGGCAGCACAUCUACUAAUGACACAGAGGUUAGCAUGACCCCUGCUCAAGGAUGACAUGCAAAUUCAUGUAGCAUUUCAUACUUCA